rnacentral:rRNA from 1 species
GAUGAACGCUAGCUACAGGCUUAACACAUGCAAGUCGAGGGGAAACGACAUCGAAAGCUUGCUUUUGAUGGGCGUCGACCGGCGCACGGGUGAGUAACGCGUAUCCAACCUGCCCAUCACUUGGGAAUAACCUUGCGAAAGUAAGACUAAUACCCAAUGACAUCCCACGAAGACAUCUGAAUGGGAUUAAAGAUUUAUCGGUGAUGGAUGGGGAUGCGUCUGAUUAGCUUGUUGGCGGGGUAACGGCCCACCAAGGCAACGAUCAGUAGGGGUUCUGAGAGGAAGGUCCCCCACAUUGGAACUGAGACACGGUCCAAACUCCUACGGGAGGCAGCAGUGAGGAAUAGUGGUCAAUGGGCGAGUGCCUGAACCAGCCAAGUAGCGUGCAGGAUGACGGCCCUAUGGGUUGUAAACUGCUUUUAUAAGGGAAUAAAGUGGGUCUCGUGAGACUUUUUGCAUGUACCUUAUGAAUAAGGACCGGCUAAUUCCGUG